rnacentral:rRNA from 1 species
UACAGAGGUCCCAAGCGUUGUUCGGAUUCACUGGGCGUAAAGGGUGCGUAGGUGGCCAGGUAAGUUCGGUGUGAAAGCUCGGAGCUCAACUCCGAAAUGUCAUUGAAUACUAUCUGGCUGGAGGGUCGGAGGGGAGACUGGAAUUCUCGGUGUAGCAGUGAAAUGCGUAGAUAUCGAGAGGAACACCAGUGGCGAAGGCGAGUCUCUGGACGACUCCUGACACUGAGGCACGAAAGCUAGGGGAGCGAAUGGG